GAAUCAAUUAUGAAAGGAUGUCCUAUCUUCAUUAUUGUUUUUAUGUUUCCUCUUAAGUUUCAUAACCCCUAAGAAUAAAAAUACUAAUAUCUUUAAAGUGCCUAAAGUGCCUCAAGAAGUUGUCACUGAAAAGAAAAUGACCAUGACGAUCCCAAAAGAGCCAGAAGUUCCACCAGCUAAAGGUAUAUGUCACCAGUCAAGUAAUUUGGAAAGAUUUUUAUAUUGUCUCCUGUUACUGAAAAUAUUUUGAAGUCUCUGUUGAACAACAUAAUCUCUAAAUGUAAAAAUACUAAUAUCUUUCAAGUGCCUGAAGCUCCUAGAGAGAUUGUCCCUGAAAAGAAAGUGGCUGUUCCCAAAAAAACAGAGGUCACACCAUUUAAAGGUAUAUGUCACCAGUCAAGUAAUUAUGGGAGGGUGAGGGGGGGGAGAAUGUCCUAUCCUCUGCUCUCAAAAAUCAGAUUGAACUUUCUACUGACCCUUGUAGUUCCUAAUUUUAAGUUUACUAAUAUCUUUUAAGUGUCUGAACCUGCCAAAGAAACUGUCCCUGAAAAGAAAGUGUCUGUGCCUGUCCCCCAAAAGCCAGAAGCCCCACCUGCUAAAGUACCUGAAGUGCUCCAAGAAGUCAUCCAUGAAAAGAAAAUGUCUGUCGCUGUCCCCAAAAAGUCAGAAGUGCUGCCUGCUAAAGGUAUAUGUCAUUAGUCAAGUAACUUGGAAAGAUGAAAAAUGAAUUCUUGUUGUUGAAAAUGUUGAACAACAUAACCCUUAAGUGUAAAAAUACUAAUAUCUUUCAAAUGCCUUAAGGUCUUGGAGAAAUUGUCCCAGAAAAGAAAGUGCCUGUGGUUGUCUCCCAAAAAACAGAAGUGCCAUCAGCUAAAGGUAUAUGUCCCCAGUGAAAUAAUGCUGAAGAAGUAUUUCUCAUCUGCUCUAAAUCAGAAUGAUAUAUCAACUGACCUACAUAGUUCCUAAUUUUAAAAUUACUAAUAUCUUUCAAGUGCCUGAAUCUCCCAAAGUCGUCGCCCCUGAAAAGAAAGUGCCUGUGACUGUCCCCCAAAAGCCAGAAGCCCUACGUGCUAAAGGUAUAGGUCACUGCUGAAAUAAUUAUAAAAGAGGGGUGUCUUAUCUUCUGCUCUUGAAAAUAUUCUGAUGUAUAAAAAUACUAAUAUCUUGAAAGUGCUAGAAAUACCCCAAGAAGUUAUCAAUGAAAAUAAAAUGUCUGUGUCUGUCCCCAAAGUCAGAAGUUCCACCAGCUAAAGGUAUAAUCACUGCUGAACUAAUUCUGAAAGAGGGAUGUCUUGUCUUCUGUUUUUUAAACAAUUUUGAUUUUUCUAUUAAAUUUCAUAACCCUUAUGUAUAAAAAUACUAAUAUCUUUAAAAUGCCUGAGGUACUGCAAAUAAUUAUCCCUGAAAAGAAAAUGCUUAUGCUUGACCCCCAAGCCAGAACUCCUACCUACCUGUGGGAGGAAAUGGGGAAAAGCUUCUCUGGCCUAUAAAAAUUGCUUUUUGCUGUACAAAUGUGAUUUGUGUUUCUACUUAUUCUGGUAACUACAAAAUGUAAAAAAAAAAAAAAAAAAAAAUACUAAUAUCUUCAAAGUUCCAGAAACUCCCAAAAAGACUGUCCCUCAAAAGGAAAUAGUUGUGACUGUCCCUGAAAAGGAAAUAGCUGUGACUGUCCCUCCAAAACCAGAAGCCCCACCUGCUAAAGGUAUAUGUUGCUACUAAGAGGAAAAUAUUUGUCUUCUAUUAUCAAAAAUAUUUUGAUGUUUCUGUUGAAAAAUAUAACUUCUAAGUAUAAAAUUACUAAUAUCUUAAGCUUCUCUGGCCUACAAAAAUUGCUUUUUGCUGUAAAAAUGUGAUUUGUGUUUCUACUUAUUCUGGUAACUACAAAAUGUAAAAAAAAAAAAAAAAAA